rnacentral:rRNA from 1 species
UACAGAGGUCCCAAGCGUUGUUCGGAUUUAUUGGGCGUAAAGGGUGCGUAGGCGGCUUGUCACGUCGGGUGUGAAAGCCCGGGGCUUAACCCCGGGUCUGCAUUCGAUACGGGCUAGCUAGAGUGUGGUAGGGGAGAUCGGAAUUCCUGGUGUAGCGGUGAAAUGCGCAGAUAUCAGGAGGAACACCGGUGGCGAAGGCGGGUCUCUGGGCCGAUACUGACGCUGAGGAGCGAAAGCGUGGGGAGCGAACAGG